rnacentral:rRNA from 1 species
GAUGAACGCUAGCGGGAGGCCUAACACAUGCAAGCCGAGCGGUAUUUCUUCUUCGGGAGAGAGAGAGCGGCGUACGGGUGCGGAACACGUGUGCAACCUGCCUUUAUCUAGAGGAUAGCCUUUCGAAAGGAAGAUUAAUACUCUAUAAUAUAUUAAUUGGCAUCAAUUGAUAUUGAAAACUCCGGUGGAUAGAGAUGGGCACGCGCAAGAUUAGCUAGUUGGUGAGGUAACGGCUCACCAAGGCAAUGAUCUUUAGGGGGCCUGAGAGGGUGAUCCCCCACACUGGUACUGAGACACGGACCAGACUCCUACGGGAGGCAGCAGUGAGGAAUAUUGGUCAAUGGGUGCAAGCCUGAACCAGCCAUCCCGCGUGAAGGAUUAAGGUCCUAUGGAUUGUAAACUUCUUUUGUAUAGGGAUAAACCUACCCUCGUGAGGGUAGCUGAAGGUACUAUACGAAUAAGCACCGGCUAACUCCGUGCCAGCCGCCGCAGUAAUAC